AAAAUCCGUCGAAUUUUCAAA
rnacentral:tRNA from 1 species